CGGUGAUCUUCGAUAUUUGCAGACAUAUUUAAUUUCAAUUUACUAUUGGGAUAAUUUAGCGGUAAUUAAACGGAAUUCUGGAAUUUCCAAAUGUUCCCACGGACUAUAAAACGUAUAACAACCAAAUGAUUUUCCUGAAUCCUUUUUUGGUGCGAUCUGACACUAUUAUUAUAACGUAUAAAUCUUUGCAUUUUGGUGACAUUUUGGCAAUACAGGGAAAACAUAAGUAACGAAUAAUAAAUAUAACUUAAAGUGAUCGUUGCUUUGAUAUUGGAAUUGCUUUGAAUUGAAUAUUAUAGAAUUAAUUAAAUUAAAAAUUAUAUUUCUUACCCCCAUUAACACGAAGCCAGGUUAGGGCCUAACUAAUAGUUAUACUGUCGGUUAAAAAUAUUUUUGUAUGAAAACUGUCAGUUUAACUGUUAGUUAAUACAUAACCAGACUUCGUGUUACUGGGGGUUAUACUGUCUACUAAAUUCUUUAAUUUAUUUUUUUAUUUUAUUAUUUAUUUAUUAUAAAGUAAAUUUACAAGAAAUACAAUUUUUUUUAAAAAAAAUUAA